rnacentral:lncRNA from 1 species
GGCUUUCAUUCUCUUCUCUGUUCCGAUUUGUCUUGCUUCAAGUCAUGCAUCCAACCUAGCCUAGGGUUCUUCAUCUCGCGCAGACAACCUAGGGUUCUUAUUCUUCUUCUUCUCUCUGUUCUGAUUCGCAACAAAGGAGGAAGCUUCCUUCCCUUUUUCAAAUUUCGAUUGAGUUGUUUUCUAUUUGAUUGAUUCUCUGCAGUGGUGGUGAGAGCUCGCCAUCCUCGUUCUUGUAGUGAUUUGGAGUUUGCAUUUCGUCUUAGGGGUUGAUUUUCUGGGUUUCUGAUUCAUUGCAAGAUGAGCCGUGAAGAUUGGAAUUCUCUGUUAGGGUUUACUGUUAUUGUAUUUUGAUGUUGAAAUUAGAAUAUUUGAUUUGGAUUUAUGGGAUUCUUUGAUGAUGGUGGUG